GAUAAACGCUGGCGGCGUGCAUGAGACAUGCAAGUCAUACGGACGAGCUUGCUCGUUAGUGGCGAACGGCUGAGUAACGCGUAGGUGACCUGCCCCGAAGUGGGGGAUAACUGCCCGAAAGGGUGGCUAAUACCGCAUGUGGCGACGUGUUCGUUCACGUCAUCAAAGCCGCGAGGCGCUUCGGGAGGGGCCUGCGUCCGAUUAGCGCGUUGGUGGGGUAACGGCUCACCAAGGCGACGAUCGGUAGGUGGUCUGAGAGGACGAUCACCCAGACUGGGACUGAGACACGGCCCAGACUCCUACGGGAGGCAGCAGUCGGGAAUUUUGCUCAAUGGGGGAAACCCUGAAGCAGCAACGCCGCGUGCGGGAUGAAGGCCUUCGGGUUGUAAACCGCUUCUACCAGGGACGAUAAUGACGGUACCUGGUGAAUAAGUCACGGCUAACUACGUGCCAGCCGCCGCAGUAAUAC
rnacentral:rRNA from 1 species